UACGAAGGGGCUAGCGUUGCUCGGAAUUACUGGGCGUAAAGGGCGCGUAGGCGGAUAGUUUAGUCAGAGGUGAAAGCCCAGGGCUCAACCUUGGAACUGCCUUUGAUACUGGCUAUCUUGAGUUCGGGAGAGGUGAGUGGAAUGCCGAGUGUAGAGGUGAAAUUCGUAGAUAUUCGGCGGAACACCAGUGGCGAAAGGCGCUCACUGGCCCGAUACUGACGCUGAGGCGCGAAAGCGUGGGGGAGCAAACAGG
rnacentral:rRNA from 1 species